rnacentral:rRNA from 1 species
AGAGUUUGAUCCUGGCUCAGGAUGAACGCUGGCUACAGGCUUAACACAUGCAAGUCGAGGGGAAACGACGGGGAAGCUUGCUUCCCCGGGCGUCGACCGGCGCACGGGUGAGUAACGCGUAUCCAACCUGCCUCUGACUGAGGGAUAACCCGUCGAAAGUCGGCCUAAUACCUCAUGGCAUCGUCUGCGGGCAUCCAACGACGAUUAAAGAUUUCAUCGGUCAGGGAUGGGGAUGCGUCUGAUUAGCUUGUUGGCGGGGUAACGGCCCACCAAGGCGACGAUCAGUAGGGGUUCUGAGAGGAAGGUCCCCCACAUUGGAACUGAGACACGGUCCAAACUCCUACGGGAGGCAGCAGUGAGGAAUAUUGGUCAAUGGGCGGAAGCCUGAACCAGCCAAGUAGCGUGCAGGAUGACGGCCCUAUGGGUUGUAAACUGCUUUUAUGCGGGGAUAAAGUGAGGGACGUGUCCUUCAUUGCAGGUACCGCAUGAAUAAGGACCGGCUAAUUCCGUGCCAGCAGCCGCGGUAAUACGGAAGGUCCGGGCGUUAUCCGGAUUUAUUGGGUUUAAAGGGAGCGUAGGCCGGAGAUUAAGUGUGUUGUGAAAUGUAGACGCUCAACGUCUGACUUGCAGCGCGAACUGGUCCACUUGAGUGUGCACAACGCAGGCGGAAUUCGUCGUGUAGCGGUGAAAUGCUUAGAUAUGACGAAGAACUCCGAUUGCGAAGGCAGCUUGCGGGAGCACAACUGACGCUGAAGCUCGAAAGUGCGGGUAUCGAACAGGAUUAGAUACCCUGGUAGUCCGCACGGUAAACGAUGGAUGCCCGUUGUCAGGCUGUUUCAGCCUGGUGACCAAGCGAAAGCAUUAAGCAUCCCACCUGGGGAGUACGCCGGCAACGGUGAAACUCAAAGGAAUUGACGGGGGCCCG